GUUUUUUUUGCAUAUCCAAAUAGCGGAGGAAAAGAAACCAACAGGGAUUGCCCUAGUAACGGCGAGUGAAGCGGCAACAGCUCAAAUUUGAAAUCUGGCCCUCGGGUCCGAGUUGUAAUUUGUAGAGGAUGCUUUUGGUGAGGUGCCUUCCGAGUUCCCUGGAACGGGACGCCAUAGAGGGUGAGAGCCCCGUCUGGUUGGACACCGAGCCUCUGUAAAGCUCCUUCGACGAGUCGAGUAGUUUGGGAAUGCUGCUCUAAAUGGGAGGUAUAUGUCUUCUAAAGCUAAAUACCGGCCAGAGACCGAUAGCGCACAAGUAGAGUGAUCGAAAGAUGAAAAGCACUUUGAAAAGAGAGUUAAAAAGUACGUGAAAUUGUUGAAAGGGAAGCGCUUAUGACCAGACUUGGGCUUGGUUGAUCAUCCUGGGUUCUCCCUGGUGCACUCUUCCAGUUCAGGCCAGCAUCAGUUCGCUGCGGGGGAUAAAAGCUUUAGGAAUGUGGCUCCCUCGGGAGUGUUAUAGCCUAUUGCAUAAUACCCUGCUCCGGACUGAGGUUCGCGCAUCUGCAAGGAUGCUGGCGUAAUGGUCAUCAGCGACCCGUCUUGAACCACGGACCAAACCAUUUU
rnacentral:rRNA from 1 species